GUGGCUGUGGCUCAGUGAUAGAGUGCUUGCCUAGCAUGCACGAGGCUCUGGGUUCCAUCCCCAGCACCAAGA
rfam:Heterocephalus glaber contig259993, whole genome shotgun sequence.